rnacentral:rRNA from 1 species
AAGGGCACCACCAGGAGUGGAGCCUGCGGCUUAUUUUGACUCAACACGGAGAAACUCACCCGGCCCGGACACCAUAAGGAUUGUCUAUUGAUAGCUUUUUCCUGAUUUGGUGGAUGGUGGUGCAUGGCCGUUCUUAGUGCGGGGAGUUAUUUGUCUGGUUUAUUCCGAUAACUAGCGAGACUCUAGCCUACUAUAUAGUCUGCACAUUGCUUCUGUGUUGCAGUACUUCUUAGAGGGAUUUUCGGCGUACCGCCGCACGAGAUUGAGCUAUAACAGGUCUGUGAUGCCCUUAGAUGUCCGGGGCUGCACGCGCGCUACAAAGGCGAGAUCAACGUGCUGGUCCUUCCUCGAAAGAGCAAGGUAAACCCCUGAAAAUUUGCCGUGAUUGGAAUCGUAAAUUUUUACAAUCAUCCGCGAACAAGGAAUUCCAAGUAAAUGAGAGGGUUCUUCUCGCGUUGUUUACAUCCCUGCCCUUUGUACGCACCACCCCCGCUGCCUGUGACUGAUGUUUUUCUGAAC